rnacentral:miRNA from 1 species
UACCCGUAUUUGUUUCUGCUGAG